rnacentral:lncRNA from 1 species
GGCCAAGAUAAUCCAUCAGAUGGAUUUGAUAUUUUGAAAUACAUUAUGGACAACCUGAUCAGAGUUGAUAGUUGAACUCUGAGAUGUCCUAUGAGUAUUUUGGUCAAGGGGAUGAAUUAUAUGGAAACUAUAUCCGCAUGGGUUCUAAGGAUGUUGUUCUACACAUUCGACCUAUUCGACCGUCGGGUACCAUUGUUAGAUGGUCACUUUGAUUGGUAAAGAAAUUUAUUUCUACGUUGUUGGCUUAGAUUUGAACCUAUGAGGUCACACAUAUUAGAGUUCACAAUCUGAUCGGAUGGUUGA